AUUGAACGCUGGCGGCAUGCCUUACACAUGCAAGUCGAACGGUAACAGGUCUUCGGAUGCUGACGAGUGGCGAACGGGUGAGUAAUACAUCGGAACGUGCCCGAUCGUGGGGGAUAACGAAGCGAAAGCUUUGCUAAUACCGCAUAAGAUCUACGGAUGAAAGCAGGGGACCGCAAGGCCUUGCGCGAACGGAGCGGCCGAUGGCAGAUUAGGUAGUUGGUGGGAUAAAAGCUUACCAAGCCGACGAUCUGUAGCUGGUCUGAGAGGACGACCAGCCACACUGGGACUGGGACACGGCCCAGACUCCUACGGGAGGCAGCAGUGGGGAAUUUUGGACAAUGGGCGCAAGCCUGAUCCAGCCAUGCCGCGUGCAGGAUGAAGGCCUUCGGGUUGUAAACUGCUUUUGUACGGAACGAAAAGACUCUGGUUAAUACCUGGGGUCCAUGACGGUACCGUAAGAAUAAGCACCGGCUGACUACGUGCCAGCCGCCGCCGUAACAC
rnacentral:rRNA from 1 species